CGGCGGGCGGGGGCACGGGGGCCUACGGGAGCAGCAGUGGGGAUAUUGCACAAUGGGGGCAACCUGAUCCAGCAUGCCGCGUGUGUGAAGAAGGCUUUCGGGUUGUAAGCCCCUUCAGUAGAGAGGAAAACGUUAUGUGUAAUAACCAUGAGGCUGGACGUUACCUACAGAAGAAGCACCGGCUAACUUCGUGCCAGCAGCCGCGGUUAUACGGAGGGUGCAAGCGUUUAUCGGAAUUACUGGGCGUAAAGCGCGCGUAGGUGGUUUGGUUAGCGAGAUGUGAAAACCCCGGGCUUCACCUGGGAACGUCAAUUCGAACUGUCCGAAUAGAGUGUGGUAGAAGGUAGUGGAAUUUCCUGUGGAACGGUGAAAUGCGUAGAUAUUGGAAGGAACUCCAGUGGCGAAGGCCACCCCCUGGACCCACCCCGGCCGUUAGGUUCGAAAACGUGGGGAGCCAACCGGAUUAGAUUCCCUGGUAGUUCCCCCCGUAAACGAAUCAACUAACCAGCGGGGGUCUGAAGACUUAGUGGCGCAGCUAAAGCCCUCUUUUAAG
rnacentral:rRNA from 1 species